rnacentral:rRNA from 1 species
GACGAACGCUGGCGGCGUGCUUAACACAUGCAAGUCGAACGGAAAGGCCCGGCUUUUGUGGGGUGCUCGAGUGGCGAACGGGUGAGUAACACGUGAGUAACCUGCCCUUGACUUUGGGAUAACUUCAGGAAACUGGGGCUAAUACCGGAUAGGAGCUCCUGCUGCAUGGUGGGGGUUGGAAAGUUUCGGCGGUUGGGGAUUGACUCGCGGCUUAUCAGCUUGUUGGUGGGGUAGUGGCUUACCAAGACUUUGCCGGGUAGCCGGCCUGAGAGGGUGACCGGCCACAUUGGGACUGAGAUACGGCCCAGACUCCUACGGGAGGCAGCAGUGGAGAAUAUUGCACAAUGGGCGGAAGCCUGAUGCAGCACCGCCGCGUGCGGGAUGACGGCCUUCGGGUUGUGAACCGCUUUCGCCUGUGACGAAGCGUGAGUGACGGUAAUGGGUAAAGAAGCACCGGCUAACUACGUG